AGUGAACGCUGGCGGUAUGCCUAACACAUGCAAGUCGAACGGCAGCACAGUAAGAGCUUGCUCUUACGGGUGGCGAGUGGCGGACGGGUGAGGAAUACAUCGGAAUCUACUUUUUCGUGGGGGAUAACGUAGGGAAACUUACGCUAAUACCGCAUACGACCUACGGGUGAAAGCAGGGGAUCUUCGGACCUUGCGCGAUUGAUUGAGCCGAGGUCGGAUUAGCUAGUUGGCGGGGUAAAGGCCCACCAAGGCGACGAUCCGUAGCUGGUCUGAGAGGAUGAUCAGCCACACUGGAACUGAGACACGGUCCAGACUCCUACGGGAGGCAGCAGUGGGGAAUAUUGGACAAUGGGCGAAAGCCUGAGCCAGCAAUACCGCGUGGGUGAAGAAGGCCUUCGGGUUGUAAAGCCCUUUUGUUGGGAAAGAAAAGCAGCAGGUUAAUACCCCGCUGUUCUGACGGUACCCAAAGAAUAAGCACCGGCUAACUUCGUG
rnacentral:rRNA from 1 species